rnacentral:lncRNA from 1 species
AUCAAGGUGCCAGCAUCUGGUGAGGGCCUCCAUGCUGUGUCAUCCCAUGGCCAAAGGUGGAAGGGCAAGAGGGCACAAGACAGCAAGGUGGCUGCUGUCAGCCGGCACGCCCAGCCCCAUCUGGCUCGAGAACUGUCAAAGAUCUCCUACAUCGCACGCCAGCUGAACACGGCCUGCAGACUGAACGUACUGUCCCACACACUUGCACUGCCAUUUUUCAGAUGUCUAAA